AGUUAAUGAACUUGAAUAAGUAUAUAUUUUGAAAAUAUAAUAUAGAUAUAUAAAUUAUCUAUUAACUU
rnacentral:tRNA from 1 species